rnacentral:rRNA from 1 species
AUUGAACGCUGGCGGCAGGCCUAACACAUGCAAGUCGAACGGUAACAGGAAACAGCUUGCUGUUUCGCUGACGAGUGGCGGACGGGUGAGUAAUGUCUGGGAAACUGCCUGAUGGAGGGGGAUAACUACUGGAAACGGUAGCUAAUACCGCAUAACGUCGCAAGACCAAAGAGGGGGACCCUCGGGCCUCUUGCCAUCGGAUGUGCCCAGAUGGGAUUAGCUUGUUGGUGGGGUAACGGCUCACCAAGGCGACGAUCCCUAGCUGGUCUGAGAGGAUGACCAGCCACACUGGAACUGAGACACGGUCCAGACUCCUACGGGAGGCAGCAGUGGGGAAUAUUGCACAAUGGGCGCAAGCCUGAUGCAGCCAUGCCGCGUGUAUGAAGAAAGCCUUCGGGUUGUAAAGUACUUUCAGCGGGGAGGAAGGGAGUAAAGUUAAUACCUUUGCUCAUUGACGUUACCCGCAGAAGAAGCACCGGCUAACUCCGUG